UACGGAGGGUCCAAGCGUUAUCCGGAAUCAUUGGGUUUAAAGGGUUCGUAGGCGGGUCAGUCAGUCAGAGGUGAAAUCCGGUCGCUCAACGAUCGAACUGCCUUUGAUACUGCUGGUCUUGAGUUAUAUUGAAGUAGAUAGAAUAUGUAGUGUAGCGGUGAAAUGCAUAGAUAUUACAUAGAAUACCGAUUGCGAAGGCAGUCUACUAAGUAUAUACUGACGCUGAUGAACGAAAGCGUGGGGAGCGAACGGG
rnacentral:rRNA from 1 species